AGAGUUUGAUCCUGGCUCAGGAUGAACGCUAGCGGUGCGCCUAACACAUGCAAGUCGAGCGAUCGAACUGGACUGAUCACCCUUCGGGGUGAGAGGACCAGUGACGGAGCGGCGGACUGGUGAGUAACGCGUAGCUAACCUACCCCCUUGACAAGGAUAGCCACUCGAAAGGGUGGAUAAUACCCGAUAUUGCUCGAGAUCGAAAGAUCUUGAGCCAAAGGCGGUCUUGCCGUCGCAAGGGGAGGGGGCUGCGUCCUAUUAGCUUGUUGGUGGGGUAAUGGCCCACCAAGGCGAUGAUGGGUAGCUGGUCUGAGAGGAUGGCCAGCCACAUUGGGACUGAGAUACGGCCCAGACUCCUACGGGAGGCAGCAGUGGGGAAUCUUUCGCAAUGGACGAAAGUCUGACGGAGCGACACCGCGUGGGGGAUGAAUGCUUUCGGGUUGUAAACCCCUUUUCUGGGGGAAGAAUAAGGGCGGGAGGAAAUGCCCGUCCGAUGACGGUACCCCAGGAAUAAGCAUCGGCUAACUUCGUGCCAGCAGCCGCGGUAAGACGAAGGAUGCAAGCGUUAUCCGGAAUUACUGGGCGUAAAGGGCGCCUAGGCGGCUGAGUAAGUCACCCGUAAAAGCCCUCAGCUCAACUGAGGAAUGUCGAGUGAAACUGCCCAGCUUGGGUGCAGGAGAGGAGGGUGGAACUCACAGAGUAGCGGUGGAAUGCGUAGAUACUGUGAGGUACCCCGAUGGCGAAGGCAACCCUCUAGCCUGCUACCGACGCUGAAGCGCGAAAGCGUGGGGAGCAAAGGGGAUUAGAUACCCCCGUAGUCCACGCCGCAAACGAUGUUCACUGGGUGUCGUUCGCUAAUACAGAUCGGUGCCGGAGCUAACGCGUUAAGUGAACCGCCUGGGGAGUACGGCCGCAAGGCUA
rnacentral:rRNA from 1 species